CAACCUACCCAGUAAGAGGGGGAUAACAGCUGGAAACGGCUGCUAAUACCGCAUAAGCUUUUUGAGACGUAUGUUUUAGAAAGUAAAGGAGGCGCAAGCUUUCGCUUAUGGAUGGGCCCGCGUCUGAUUAGCUAGUUGGUAGGGUAGAGGCCUACCAAGGCAACGAUCAGUAGCCGGCCUGAGAGGGUGGACGGCCACACUGGGACUGAGAACGGCCCAGACUCCUACGGGAGGCAGCAGUGGGGAAUAUUGCGCAAUGGGGGGAAACCCUGACGCAGCGACGCCGCCGUGAGCGAAGAAGGCCUUCGGGUUGUAAAGCUCUGUUGUAAGGGACGAAUGUCUAGGGUAGUAACUGACCUUAGAAUGACGGUACCUUACCAGCAAGCCCCGGCUAACUACGUGCCAGCCGCAGC
rnacentral:rRNA from 1 species